AAAAAGGUGAGAAAAUUAAUAUAGUAUAAUAUGAUAUGAUAUAAUAUAUAAAGUGUGUGUAUCUCCUUUCUUUGGAAGCGUCUGCAAGAAACCAGUAAUAUUUUCUCAUGGGAGAAAAAAUGCGUGUCUGAGGCUGGACGCAGUGGCUCACACCUGUAAUCUCAACACUUUGGGAGGCUGAGCUGAGCAGAUGGGUUGAGCCCAGGAGUUCGAGACUAGCCUGGACAACAUGGUGAGACUCUGUAUCUACAAAAAAUACAAACAAUUAGCCAGGUACAGCUGAGUGCGCCUGUAGUCCCAGCUAUUCAGGAGGUUGAGGUGGGAGGAUCACUUGAGCCGGGGAGGUUAAGGCUGUAGUGAGCCGUGAUUGUGUCACUGCACUCCAGCUUGGGUGACAGAGCAAGACCCUGUCUCUCCUCCACCCCUCCAAAAAAUGGGUCUCUGGCAGCAGGAUGGGAGGGAGAUUUUCUAGUUUACCUUUUGUACUUUUUGAAUUGUACCAUGUGAAUGUAUUGCCUAUCCAAAAUUAAAUCACUACUGCGGGGUGGGUACUGACUGGGAGGGGGCACAAGGGAGCCCUCCGGGGCCCUGGACGUCUUCUGAGCCUUCAUUCUGGAUCUUGAUGGUUACGUGGGUGAACACACAUGAAAAGUCAUCAAUCCAUACACUUAAGUUCUAUGCACUUUAUUUUAAAUUAUGCUUCAAAAAAAGUGAUGUAUUCUAAUGACAUGAUAAAAUACAGUCAGCCCUCCAUAUCUGUGGGUUCCAUAUCCACAGAUUUAACCAACCAUGAAUCAAAAAUAUUUUUUAAAAUGGGUGUUUGCAUCUGUACUGAAUACAUAUAGACUUUAAAAAGAAUCAUUAUUCUUCCAGCCUGAGGAACAUGGCAAAACCCCAUCUCUACCAAAAAUACAAAAAAAUUAGCUGAAUGUGGUGGCAUGUGCCUGUAGUCCCAGCUACUCAGGAGACCGAGGUGGGAGGAUUACUUGAGCCUGGGAGAUGGAGACUGCAGUGAGCCGAGAUUAGGCCACUGCACUUCAACCUGGGUGAUGGUGUGAGACCCUGUCUCAAAAAAAAAAAUCAUUGUUCUCUAAACAAUAUAGCCUAACAACUAUUUACGUAUACAUAUACUUUUUUUUUUUUUUGAGACAGUCUCACUAUUGUCACCCAGGCUGGAGUGCAAUGGCAUGAUCUUGGCUCACUGCAACUUCUGCCUCCUGGGUUCAAGUGAUUCUCCUACCUCAGCCUCUUGAGUAGCUGUGAUUACAGGUAGGUGCCUGCCACCACACCCGGCUAUUUUUUUUUUUUUUUUUUUUUGAGAUGGAGUCUUGCUCUGUCACCCAGCCUGGAGUGCAAUGGCGUGAUCUUGGCUCACUGCAACCUCCCCCUCUUGGGUUCAAGCCAUUCUCCUGCCUCAGCUUCCCCAGUAGCUGGGAUUACAGGAGCGCACCACCACACCGAGCUAAUUUUUGUAUUUUUAGUAGAGACGGGGUUUCGCCAUGUUGGCCAGGCUGGUCUCAAACUCCUGACCUCAGGUGGUCCGCCCACCUCGGCCUCCCAAAAUGCUAGGAUUACAGGUGUAAGCCACCAUGCCCAGCCUAUUUACAUAUUUUUUACAGUAUAUUAGACAUUAUAAAUAAUCUAGAGAUGAUUUAAAGCAGCAAUCUCCAAACUUUUUGACACCAGGGACUGGUUUUGUGGAAGACAAUUUUUCCAUUGACCGGGGCAUAAAACUGUUCCACCUCAGAUCAUCAGGCGUUAUAGUCUCAUAAAGAGCGCGCAGCCUAGACCCCUCGAAUGCUCAGUUUGCAAUACGGUUUGCGCGCCUCUGAGAAUCUAAUGCCGCUGCUGAUCUGACAGGAGGGGGAGCUCAUACGGUCAUGCUAGCUUGCCAGAUGCCUGCCUCCUGCUGUGUGGCUCUGUUCCUGACAGGUAUAGGCUGGUACUGGUCCACGGUCUGGGGUUUGGGGACCCCCCCCCGAUUUAAAGUAUGUGGAAGGAUGGGCAUAGGUUACAUGCAAAUAUGGUACCAUUUUAUAUCAGGGACUUGAGCAUCUGAAGAUUUUGGUAUCUGCGGUGGAGGGGGGACGGUUCCCAGAACCAAUCUCCCAUGGAUAGCAAGGGAUUAUUGUAUAUUAAAAAUAAUUUUAUGUAUUUAUGUGUUUAUUUAUUUUACUUUAAGUUCCGGGAUACAUAUGCAGAGUGUGCAGGUUUGUUACAUAGGUAUGCAUGUGCCAUGGUGGUUUGCUGCACUUAUCAACCCGUCAUCUAGGUUUUAAGCCCUGUAUGCAUUAGCUAUUUGUCCUAAUGCUCUCCCUCCCCUUACCCCCACCCCCCAAAAUAAUUUUAAAAAUAAAGUCAGACCAGGAUAUAUUGCCUUGCUCCACAAAAAUAAAUAUGUUUCUAAAAAGUUUACUCAAGCCUGUUUCUAGAAAGUGAAGCAUAACUUCCAACUGGCUUUCAUUAAAACGUCUAAGAUGUAUUCAUGUACUGACUCCAUUCAAGGAGUGGCAGUACUGGUGUUGGUCUGAGCACUAGGAGCCUGCUGGGGUGAACCCACCCACUCUCUGAGUCUGGGCUUGAUGAUGGAAAGAGAAAAGGAGAGGUGAAUUGAGUCUCCUUGAAAGACAUGAGAAAUUAGAGCCGGGCACGGUGGCUCACGCUUGUAAUCCCAGCACUUUGGGAGGCCAAGGCGGGAGGAUCACCUGAGGUCAGGAGUUCGAGACCAGCCUGGCCAACAUGGUGAGACCCCCGUCUCUACAAAAAUAAAAAAAUUAGCUGGGCGUGGUGGCAUGCGCCUGUAAUUCCAGCUACUUGGGAGUCUGAGGUGGAAGAAUCACUUGAACCUGGGAGGCAGAGGUUGCAGUGAGCCGAGACUGUGCCAUUGCACUCCAGCCUGGGCGACAGAGCGAGACUCGAUCUCAAAAAAAAAAAAAAAAAAAAAUCAGAGAAAUUAGAGCCCAGCAGAGAACACAGGAAGAGAAGUCAACACUGCCUGAUCGCCUCUGCAUCUGGGAGCUUGCUGGGCACUGUGCAUGCUGGUACAACAGAAGCAGACAAAGAAUUCUUCUGAGAGGCAAGAGAGGAAAUCAAAAUUGGAAAACAGAACCAUAUACUAAUAAUCCACUCAUUUGCUGAGCACUUUACCAUUUUCUUUUCUUUCUUUCUUUCUUUUUUUCUUUUCUUUUCUUUUUCUUUUUUUUUUUUUUUUUAAUUUUUGAGAUGGAGUCUUGCUCUGUCGCCCAGGCUGGAGUGCAGUGGCAUGAACUUGGCUCACUGCAAACUCUGCCUCCCCAGUUCAAGUGAUUCUCCUGCCUCAGACUUCUAAAUAGCUGGGAUUACAGGCAUGCACCAGCCUGGCUAAUUUUUGUAUAUUUAGUAGAGAAGGGGUUUCGCCAUGUUAGCCGGGCUGGUCUCAAAUUUCUGGCCUCAAGUGAUCUGCCUGCCUCAGCCUCCCAAAGUGCUGAGAUUACAGGCAUGAGCCACCGCGUCCAGCCCACUUUCCCAUUUUCAAUAUCCUUUUACGCCUGUUACAUAAUUUGACUUUGAAAUGACCCUAUGAAUGGAUGGGGUGCAUGUUCAUCGUCCCACCUUGUGAAUGAGGAAGGAAGCUGAGACCUAGACAGCAAAGUCACAGGAGGUGACAGAGCCUGUAUUCAAACCCAUGUUUUACAAUUCUAAGUCUGAUGUGCUCACUGCUGCUUUCCAGAGAGGUCUCGGAUCAUCUAGACUGAGCUCUGGCUUCCCUAUUUACCAGCUGUGUGAUUUUGGGCAAGUUGCUGAACCUCUCUGUGCCUCUCUGUUCUCAUUCUGUACAAUGGAGCUGGUAUAAGGAUUACAUGAGCCAAUAAAAAGAAAGCACAUGGUAAGUGCUCAUCAAAAAUUAACUUUUGUUUUUAUUCCUAGAAAAAAAGAAAGUGAGACAUGAUAAUGGCAAAGAUGAGAAAUCUGAGAAUCAUAGAGAGAAGAGGGUGAGAAGAACAGUUCAGAGGUGGAAAUGGCUCUAGCAUGUCAGUGCUCAGCUCCCCCAGGCAGUAAGAACAGGAAUACGGUGGCCAGGCAGAGGCCAGGGCAGGCCAGCAGUACCAGUAGGAAGAUGCCCUCACCCCUACCUUGGCCUUCAACCUGAAGAAGCUCAGUGUUUCCCUAGGCCCAAAUCUAGCUGGCAGCAAGCCCAGGACAGAGAGUGAGGACAGGAGUGGGGAAAAGAGAUGGAUAAGGCAUCUUGGCCACCCUCGAGGGGCUUGUGGUCUGGUUGUAAGAUCGAGACAGGGCUAUGUGAGCUAAGAUGGCUUCCCUCAGUCUCCCCAGAAUGCCAGGCUCCCUGUCCAGUGAGGUGCUGGUAAAAAUGGAACAACUAGCUCUUUGUUGGGGGAUGACAGGUCAGAGGGGCUGACAUGCCAAUUUUCAUGUUUGCCAAUUUCCAUGGUGGAAAUACUCUCAUUGUGGCCAUCUUCAAAAAGAAGCAGGUCCUGGUAUCAAGCCAUGAGGGCGGGACAGGCAGUAAGGUGAGGACAAAGGUGUGGGGUCACUGUCAGAGGUUGGAGACCUGCGUCCCGGUCCCUGAGAGAGUGCACAGGAAUGCUACGUGCCUUGGACACAUCAUUUUACCUCUUUGACCUCCAGUCACCUCAAGGAAGAAAAUGAAAAUGUACUGUGUUGGAGGGUGGGCAGAGCUGGCGUGAAUCCAGGCCAGAGGGUAUUUUUCAAGCACUUGCUACAUGCUAAGCCCUGGGAUACAGAGACGAAUAACAGAGCGUCAUGCUGGGGAAGUGGAAAGAUGUGAAAGUCCCAUGACCUCAUGGACAUAGUGGUGGCGAUGAUUAGUAAGUACGAGGUGAUGGCCUUGUCGUGUCUGAGUCACACAAUUCAUUCUGUCAGUCCCCAGAUCUUUUGUUUUGUUUUGUUUGAGACAGAGUCUCACUCUGUCACUGAGGCUGGAGUGCAGUGGUGCCAUCUCGGCUCACUGCAACCUCCGCCUCCCAGGUUCAAGCGAUUCUCCUGCCUCAGCCUCCCAAGUAGCUGGUACUACAGGCGUGUGCCACCAUGUCCAGCUAAUUUUUGUAUUUUCUGGUAGUGACAGGGUUUCACCAUGUUGCCCAGGAUGGUCUCAAACUCCUGAUCUCAUGUGAUCUGCCCGCCUCAGCCUCCCAAAGUGCUGGGAUUACAGUUGUGAGCCACCACUCCCAGCCAGUCCCCAGAUUUUUAUUGAGGACUGGCUGUGGGCCAGGCACUGGGAAACAGCAGUGAACAAAAGACCAACUCUCUGCCCUCCAAAAAUGGAGACAGGACACUAAUCUAAGAAACAUAAAAUAGAAGCCGGGUGCGGUGGCUCACGCCUGUAAUCCCAGCACUUCGGGAGGCCGAGGCGUGUGGAUUACGAGGUCAGGAGAUCGAGACCACGGUGAAACCCUGUCUCUACUAAAAAUACAAAAAAA
rnacentral:lncRNA from 10 species